CGCCGCGUGCUCGAAGAAACCCUUCGGGGUGUAAAGAGCUUUUAACCGGGAUGAACCGAGCACAUAAUUCGUUAUGUGCUUGGUGACAGUACCGGCUGAAUAAGAGGGUCCUAAUUCUGUGCCAGCAGGAGCGGUAAGACAGAACCCCCAAGCGUUAUCCGGAUUUAUUGGGCGUAAAGAGUCCGUAGGCGGUCUGCAAAGUUUUUCGUUAAAUACCCAAGGCUUAACCCUGGGGAUGCGGAAAAAACUAGCGGAUUAGAGGACGUUAGAGGCUGAUGGAACGGUCGGUGUAGGGGUGAAAUCCGUUGAUAUCGACCGGAACACCAAAAGCGAAGGCAUUCAGCUGGGGCGAUCCUGACGCUGAGGGACGAAAGCGUGGGCAUAAAAAAGGAUUAGAUACCCUUGUAUUCCACGCUGUAAACGAUGGACACUGGCCAUUUGAAGUGUCGACCCUUUAAGUGGCGAAGCUAACGCGUUAAGUGUCCCGCCUGGGAAGUACGACGGCAACGUUAAAACUCAAAGGAAUAGACGGGGCUUCACACAAGCGGUGGACCAUGUGGCUCAAUUCGACAACAAACGAAGAACCUUACCAGGGCUUGAAAUCCCGCUAAAACCCCGCAGAA
rnacentral:rRNA from 1 species